rnacentral:rRNA from 1 species
AUUGAACGCUGGCGGCAGGCCUAACACAUGCAAGUCGAGCGGUAACAUUUCUAGCUUGCUGGAAGAUGACGAGCGGCGGACGGGUGAGUAAUACUUGGGGAUCUGCCUGAUGGCGGGGGACAACCACUGGAAACGGUGGCUAAUACCGCAUAAUACCUACGGGCCAAAGUGUGGGACCUUCGGGCCACAUGCCAUCAGAUGAACCCAAGCGAGAUUAGCUAGUUGGUGAGGUAAUGGCUCACCAAGGCGACGAUCUCUAGCUGUUCUGAGAGGAUGAUCAGCCACACUGGGACUGAGACACGGCCCAGACUCCUACGGGAGGCAGCAGUGGGGAAUAUUGGACAAUGGGCGCAAGCCUGAUCCAGCCAUGCCGCGUGUGUGAAGAAGGCCUUCGGGUUGUAAAGCACUUUCAGUGGUGAGGAAGGCGUUGUAGUUAAUAGCUGCAACGAUUGACGUUAGCCACAGAAGAAGCACCGGCUAACUCCGUGCCAGCAGCCGCGGUAAUACGGAGGGUGCGAGCGUUAAUCGGAAUUACUGGGCGUAAAGCGCACGUAGGCGGCUUGUUAAGCAAGAUGUGAAAGCCCAGGGCUCAACCUUGGAAUUGCAUUUUGAACUGGCAAGCUAGAGUUUUGAAGAGGGUGGUAGAAUUUCCAGUGUAGCGGUGAAAUGCGUAGAUAUUGGAAGGAAUACCAGUGGCGAAGGCGGCCACCUGGUCAAAAACUGACGCUGAGGAGCGAAAGCGUGGGGAGCAAACAGGAUUAGAUACCCUGGUAGUCCACGCCGUAAACGAUGUCAACUAGUUGUUCGUGUCUUUGAGACGUGAGUAACGCAGCUAACGCACUAAGUUGACCGCCUGGGGAGUACGGCCGCAAGGUUAAAACUCAAAUGAAUUGACGGGGGCCCGCACAAGCGGUGGAGCAUGUGGUUUAAUUCGAUGCAACGCGAAGAACCUUACCAUCCCUUGACAUCCAGAGAA